rnacentral:lncRNA from 1 species
AUUUAGUCGCUACUUUCAUCUCAGAACUCAACUCGCUAAUUUUAACGCGCAGUAAAUCGCUGUCGCUGGCUAUGUGAAACCGCCUUUAGGCAGGGUCUGACGUCGCGCGAGGAGACAAACAGUACAGUAAUAAAUACAAAAACAUUUGCUAGCAUGUUUACAACAUAGCUUGUGGUGCAGAGUAUAAUGCCGGAAAGGGGACGAUGAGGAAUUAUUAUAGUUGUUCCAAUUGGGGCUGCGGACGUCACUGCAUAGACCACAGCGACGGAGAAGCGAUUGUCGAACGCGCUCGACGUCAAACCCUGCAUACUCGCACGGGAUCUGACAAUGCGAUAGCGUGUUCCAUGGAAAUUUUGGUUCCUCUUACGCCUACUGUUGCUCCUCUGAGUUUGUCGCCGCUUCAACAGAACACACUGUAUAUCGAUAUAUACGUACAUUACUUUACAAUCAAAUAUUGUCUUGCAGUAGUAUAAUUUUACUUCAUACACAUCAAGUACAGUAUAUAGUUUAUUUUUACAGGAUUCACCCAGUUUGUUUUAUGUAUAAAAUCUGUUAAAUUAUGCAUCCUUCUCCUAAGACUUUUUAAAAACAACUAAACUAAUAGCGUC